GAUGAACGCUAGCGGCAGGCCUAACACAUGCAAGUCGAACGGUAACAGGAAUUAGCUUGCUAAUUUGCUGACGAGUGGCGCACGGGUGCGUAACGCGUAUACAAUCUACCUUUUGCUGAGGGAUAGCCCAGAGAAAUUUGGAUUAAUACCUCAUGGUAUUAUUGAUAGGCAUCUAUUAAUAAUUAAAGGUUACGGCAAAAGAUGAGUAUGCGUCCCAUUAGCUAGUUGGUGAGGUAACGGCUUACCAAGGCGACGAUCAGUAGCCGACCUGAGAGGGUGAUCGGCCACACUGGAACUGAGACACGGUCCAG
rnacentral:rRNA from 1 species